rnacentral:rRNA from 1 species
UACGUAGGGGGCUAGCGUUGUCCGGAAUCAUUGGGCGUAAAGAGCGUGUAGGCGGUCCGGUAAGUCCGUUGUGAAAGUCAGGGGCUCAACUCAAGAAAUGCAUUCAGGACUGGGCGGCUAGAGGACCGGAGAGGAUAGUGGAAUUCCCAGUGUAGUGGUGAAAUACGUAGAGAUUGGGAAGAACACCAGUGGCGAAGGCGGCUAUCUGGACGGUUUCUGACACUAAGACUCGAAAGCGUGGGGAGCAAACAGG